rnacentral:rRNA from 1 species
UACGUAGGGUGCGAGCGUUGUCCGGAAUUAUUGGGCGUAAAGCGCGUGUAGGCGGCUUUGCAAGUCGGGUGUGAAAUCCCCAGGCUUAACCUGGGAACUGCAUUCGAGACUGCAUUGCUAGAGUAUGGGAGAGGGAAGUGGAAUUUCCGGUGUAGCGGUGAAAUGCGUAGAUAUCGGAAGGAACAUCAGUGGCGAAAGCGACUUCCUGGACCAAUACUGACGCUCAUGUGCGAAAGCGUGGGGAGCAAACAGG